rnacentral:rRNA from 1 species
AGUCGAGGGGCAGCAUCAUCAAAGCUUGCUUUGAUGGAUGGCGACCGGCGCACGGGUGAGUAACACGUAUCCAACCUGCCGACAACACUGGGAUAGCCUUUCGAAAGAAAGAUUAAUACCGGAUGGUAUAGUUUUCCCGCAUGGGAUGAUUAUUAAAGAAUUUCGGUUGUCGAUGGGGAUGCGUUCCAUUAGGCAGUUGGCGGGGUAACGGCCCACCAAACCUACGAUGGAUAGGGGUUCUGAGAGGAAGGUCCCCCACAUUGGAACUGAGACACGGUCCAAACUCCUACGGGAGGCAGCAGUGAGGAAUAUUGGUCAAUGGACGAGAGUCUGAACCAGCCAAGUAGCGUGAAGGAUGACUGCCCUAUGGGUUGUAAACUUCUUUUAUACGGGAAUAAAGUGAGCCACGUGUGGCUUUUUGUAUGUACCGUAUGAAUAAGGAUCGGCUAACUCCGUGCCAGCAGCCGCGGUAAUACGGAGGAUCCGAGCGUUAUCCGGAUUUAUUGGGUUUAAAGGGAGCGUAGGCGGGUUGUUAAGUCAGUUGUGAAAGUUUGCGGCUCAACCGUAAAAUUGCAGUUGAUACUGGCGACCUUGAGUGCAACAGAGGUAGGCGGAAUUCGUGGUGUAGCGGUGAAAUGCUUAGAUAUCACGAAGAACUCCGACUGCGAAGGCAGCUUACUGGAUUGUAACUGACGCUGAUGCUCGAAAGUGU